rnacentral:rRNA from 1 species
AUUAAACGCUGGCGGCAUGCUUUACACAUGCAAGUCGAACGGUAACAGGUCUUUCGGGAUGCUGACGAGUGGCGAACGGGUGAGUAAUGUAUCGGAACGUGCCCAGUAGUGGGGGAUAACUACUCGAAAGAGUGGCUAAUACCGCAUGAGAUCUCUGGAUGAAAGCGGGGGACCGUAAGGCCUCGCGCUACUGGAGCGGCCGAUAUCAGAUUAGGUAGUUGGUAGGGUAAGAGCCUACCAAGCCAACGAUCUGUAGCUGGUCUGAGAGGACGACCAGCCACACUGGGACUGAGACACGGCCCAGACUCCUACGGGAGGCAGCAGUGGGGAAUUUUGGACAAUGGGCGCAAGCCUGAUCCAGCAAUGCCGCGUGCAGGACGAAGGCCUUCGGUUGUAACUGCUUUUGUUACGGACGAAAGACCUCUGGUUAAUACCUAGGGUCAUGACGGUACCGUAAGAAUAAGCACCGGCUAACUACGUGCCAGCAGCCGCGGUAAU